rnacentral:rRNA from 1 species
ACCAACAGGGAUUGCCCUAGUAACGGCGAGUGAAGCGGCAACAGCUCAAAUUUGAAAUCUGGCCCUUGUGGUCCGAGUUGUAAUUUGUAGAGGAUGCUUUUGGCGCGGUGCCUUCCGAGUUCCCUGGAACGGGACGCCAUAGAGGGUGAGAGCCCCGUCUGGUUGGACACCAAGCCUCUGUAAAGCUCCUUCGACGAGUCGAGUAGUUUGGGAAUGCUGCUCUAAAUGGGAGGUAUAUGUCUUCUAAAGCUAAAUAUUGGCCAGAGACCGAUAGCGCACAAGUAGAGUGAUCGAAAGAUGAAAAGCACUUUGAAAAGAGGGUUAAAUAGUACGUGAAAUUGUUGAAAGGGAAGCGUUUGUGACCAGACUUGGGCCCGGUUAAUCAUCCAGCGUUCUCGCUGGUGCACUUUGCCGGCCCAGGCCAGCAUCAGUUCGCGCCGGGGGAUAAAGGUUUCGGGAACGUGGCUCCCCUCGGGGAGUGUUAUAGCCCGUUGCGUAAUACCCUGGUGCGGACUGAGGUUCGCGCUCCGCAAGGAUGCUGGCGUAAUGGUCAUCAGCGACCCGUCUUGAAACACGGACCAAGGAGUCGUCUUCGUAUGCGAGUGUUCGGGUGUCAAACCCCUACGCGUAAUGAAAGUGAACGCAGGUGAGAGCUUCGGCGCAUCAUCGACCGAUCCUGAUGUUCUCGGAUGGAUUUGAGUAAGAGCAUACGGGGCCGGACCCGAAAGAAGGUGAACUAUGCCUGUAUAGGGUGAAGCCAGAGGAAACUCUGGUGGAGGCUCGCAGCGGUUCUGACGUGCAAAUCGAUCGUCAAAUAUGGGCAUGGGGGCGAAAGACUAAUCGA